UAUCUUCCUACAAUGCCCCAUGUUCCAUCUCUGUUGAUGUUUGGUUGGAGUAAUGUAGAUGGUCACCAAAUAUGUUGCACUAUUGAUUUUCAACGGAAGAGCUCCACAGUGCUAUUAUCUAUACUGAAAUAUCAGAUGAUACUGAAAAUAAUUGUGUGAACUAUUCACCAUCUGACUGGCUUAUUGAUGCUAUAGUGUUAAACAAUUCCUAAAAAUGUUUCAUGCCUCAAAUUAUGAGCUGCAAGUUCCUGAGUUGGAAUACUUUCCUGCCAGACUUUCAUCUUUG